GAUGAACGCUGGCGGCGUGCAUAACACAUUCAAGUCGAACGGACAAGGGGACUUCGGUCCCUGCGUUAGUGGCGGACGGGCGAGUAACGCGUGAGCAACCUGCCCCUGUGUGUGGAAUAACGUUUGGAAACGAACGCUAAUACCGCAUAAUGCAUGAGGAUCGCAUGGUCUUUAUGCCAAAGAUUUAUUGCACAGGGAUGGGCUCGCGUCCGAUUAGAUAGUUGGUGAGGUAACGGCCCACCAAGUCGACGAUCGGUAGCCGGACUGAGAGGUUGAACGGCCACAUUGGAACUGAGAAACGGUCCAGACUCCUACGGGAGGCAGCAGUGGGGAAUAUUGGGCAAUGGGCGAAAGCCUGACCCAGCGACGCCGCGUGAAGGAAGACGGUCUUCGGAUUGUAAACUUCUUUUAUAAGGGACGAAGCAUGACGGUACCUUAUGAAUAAGCCACGGCUAACUACGUGCCAGCAGCCGCGGUAACAC
rnacentral:rRNA from 1 species